AAGGAUAGUGACGCGGUAGUGACGAGGUAGCCCGGAGGGUAGAGAGUGACGAGGUAGCCCGGAGGGUAGAGAGAGUGACGAGGUAGCCCGGAGGGUAGAGAGAGUGACGAGGUAGCCCGGAGGGUAGAGAGAGUGACGAGGUAGCCCGGAGGGUAGAGAGAGUGACGAGGUAGCCCGGAGGGUAGAGAGAGUGACGAGGUAGCCCGGAGGGUAGAGAGAGUGACGAGGUAGCCCGGAGGGUAGAGAGAGUGACGAGGUAGCCCGGAGGGUAGAGAGAGUGACGAGGUAGCCCGGAGGGUAGAGAGAGUGACGAGGUAGCCCGGAGGGUAGAGAGAGUGACGAGGUAGCCCGGAGGGUGGAGAGAGUGACGAGGUAGCCCGGAGGGUAGAGAGAGUGACGAGGUAGCCCGGAGGGUAGAGAGAGUGACGAGGUAGCCCGGAGGGUGGAGAGAGUGACGAGGUAGCCCGGAGGGUGGAGAGAGUGACGAGGUAGCCCGGAGGGUAGAGAGAGUGACGAGGUAGCCCGGAGGGUGGAGAGAGUGACGAGGUAGUGACGAGGUAGCCCGGAGGGUGGAGAGAGUGACGAGGUAGCCCGGAGGGUGGAGAGAGUGACGAGGUAGCCCGGAGGGUGGAGAGAGUGACGAGGUAGCCCGGAGGGUGGAGAGAGUGACGAGGUAGCCCGGAGGGUGGAGAGAGUGACGAGGUAGCCCGGAGGGUAGGGAGAGUGACGAGGUAGCCCGGAGGGUAGGGAGAGUGACGAGGUAGCCCGGAGGGUAGGGAGAGUGACGAGGUAGCCCGGAGGGUAGGGAGAGUGACGAGGUAGCCCGGAGGGUAGGGAGAGUGACGAGGUAGCCCGGAGGGUAGGGAGAGUGACGAGGUAGCCCGGAGGGUAGGGAGAGUG